GAUGAAUGCUGGCGGCGUGCCUAACACAUGCAAGUCGAGCGGCAGCGCGAGUAGUUUACUACUUGGCGGCGAGCGGCGGACGGCUGAGUAACGCGUGGGAACGUGCCCCAAAGUGAGGGAUAACGCACCGAAAGGUGUGCUAAUACCACAUAUGGUCUUCGGAUUAAAGAAUUUAUUCGCUUUGGGAGCGGCCCGCGUCGGAUUAGGUAGUUGGUAGGGUAAUGGCCUACCAAGCCGACGAUCCGUAGCUGGUCUGAGAGGAUGAUCAGCCAGACUGGAACUGAGACACGGUCCAGACUCCUACGGGAGGCAGCAGUGAGGAAUCUUCCACAAUGGGCGAAAGCCUGAUGGAGCAACGCCGCGUGCAGGAUGAAGGCCUUCGGGUUGUAAACUGCUUUUAUAAGUGAAGAAUAUGACGGUAACUUAUGAAUAAGCACCGGCUAACUACGUGCCAGCCGCCGCAGUAA
rnacentral:rRNA from 1 species